rnacentral:rRNA from 1 species
UGUAAGCGUAUACCAAAGUUGUUGCAGUUAAAACGCUCGUAGUCGGAAUUUGGCAGUUCCGGAAGUGUGCACGUCGUGUGCGCACUUUGCGGGGACUGCUUUUGUGGUCUUGCGUAGGAUGAGGCACUUUCAUUAGUGAACGUCCUCACGCAACCACUCUUUACUGUGAGAAAAUCAGAGUGCUCAAAGCAGGCAUUUGCCGUGAAUGUAUUAGCAUGGAAUAAUAGAAUAGGACUCGGUUCUAUUUUGUUGGUUUGUUGGGACUGAGUAAUGAUUAAGAGGGACAGUUGGGGGCAUUUGUAUUCCGGCGCUAGAGGUGGAAUUCUUAGAUUGCCGGAAGACAAACUGCUGCGAAAGCGUCUGCCAAGGAUGUUUUCAUUGA